AACGAACGCUGGCGGCGUGCUUAACACAUGCAAGUCGAACGCGAAAGGGACUUCGGUCCUGAGUAAAGUGGCGCACGGGUGAGUAACGCGUAGAUAACCUGUCUUCAUGUCUGGAAUAAUACGCCGAAAGGGGUACUAAUACCGGAUAUUCUGUUUUUCAUAAGUUAUGCAAGCAAAGGUGGCCUCUGCAUAUGCUACUGCAUGAAGAGGGGUCUGCGUACCAUUAGCUAGUAGGUGGGGUAAUGGCCUACCUAGGCGACGAUGGUUAGCGGGUCUGAGAGGAUGAUCCGCCACACUGGCACUGGAACACGGGCCAGACUCCUACGGGAGGCAGCAGUGAGGAAUAUUGCGCAAUGGGGGAAACCCUGACGCAGCGACGCCGUGUGAGUGAAGGAAGGCCUUCGGGUCGUAAAGCUCUGUCAAGAGGAAAGAAGUGUACAAUGGCUAAUACCUGUUGUAUUUGACGGUACCUCUAAAGGAAGCACCGGCUAACUCCGUGCCAGCAGCCGC
rnacentral:rRNA from 1 species